UUGGAGUCAAUCCCCUGUACUGGGAAAAACAAAACACAGGCUGUAUGUGUGAUGCCGAAGUACCAAGGGCACUGCUGUUACAGUCAGGUGCAAGAAGAGGCCAAGAUUGGCCGCUUUUAUUGAAAUUUCUUCCGGAGCUGACAACCAGUGUUUUUGGUGAGAGGCACUGAUACCCCAGUAGCAAUAAGCUGCCAAGUGUUCAAGUAGCCGUUCUCCGCUAAAAGGGACUGGAGCUCCUUGGCGAAACAGCUGAUCCCAGAGCUGGAAAUUACAAGGGGAGUUGGAGGCAUAUAGGGGAUGCUCAGAUCAAUGGAGACAGGUCAGAAUGACACAGGCGUCUCUUUGAAAGGGCUUCCACUGGAGACGUCUGGGACAGGCUGGGCGUUCACAUAAGGCUCCACAGAGAUAGAUUAGAACCUUUGGGCUACAAUAGGAACCCAUGAGUCCACAUGGAGGGGGAUGAAUGAAGGCCGGAGAAAGGCGUUCCUGCCAAUAGGGCGCCAGCAAGUGAAUGCCGAAGAGUGACACAGGCAGACCUUCACUAUUUGGCGACCGUCCCGGGGUGGCUGGGUAAGCUGGAGUCAUCAAAGGAUGCUAAGACUAGGAGGCGGGAUGUGAUGAGAAACAGUUGGUGCGGUCUUGCAGCGUCUCCUCACCACGUGGGUAUCACAUACAGAGGGAAAGAUGGCGAGCAGGUGGUGGAGAAACCCAGCAGGCGCCAGCUUGACCUUGGGUCAAGAUUAACACCUCCGUGUUGGGGAAGCCCAGUAACCUAUGCUGGGUGUGAUGCACAGAAUCUUCCUGUGCGUUUCUGCCAUGAACGCACAGCCGGAGCGUGGACGUGGGAAAACAGUCCAGCCUCAGGUCGGGAGACAUCUGACAGAAUGACUGGACGCCAUUCUUUAAGAUUGUCACUGUCACGGAAGCUAGGGAGAGACGGAUAAUGUUUCAGGUAGGAGGAAAAUCAUGAGCCAUGACAACCAAGUGCAGUUCAGAACUCGGACUUGGAGCUUGGAUCCAAAAGGCAAAUGGGCCAUUGCUGGGACAGUUGUAGAAAUUUGCAUGACGUCCAUUGAUUGGAUGAUGCUGUAAAAAGAAUUUUGAUUUCCUCAUGUGCAGUGUUGAAUGGUAGUAAUGAGGAGAGGCUGUUGAUUGGAGGAGAUACAAAUUGGAAUAUUUAGGGGUCAGAGGCAUCAUGUCUACAACUCGUUCUAAAUUUUUAAAUGGUUAAGGAAAAAGGAAGCCCCGUCUGCCUCUCUCUCUGUUGUGCCUGCCUGCCCUCCUCCAUCUCCGCUCUGUUCAUCAGCUGAGACAUACCCAUCUCAUGUCCCUUACCUUACCGACCUGCCUGCCAUUUCCCCAAGAAACAUUCAGGGAAAGCACCCUACAAACACGAGGGAGCAGAAAACUCCUUUCCUCCGUUUAUGUCAGGGUUUUACUGGAAACUUAUGCAGCCUGCAUCUGACCGCCCCAUCUUGUCAGUCCUGUGGCCUCGUGCGUCUUCCCACUCUUCGAUGCCCCCAUCCAGAUUGCUUGGAAGUCUUUUGGUCUUGAUUCGCCGGUGCUGCAGUGAUCCCACAAAAAGGUGACCAGAGGAGGCUGGGCGGUGAGGGAGAAAGGGCAUCCGUGUUCAGAGCAUGAGAGCGACGGGCCUGCUCUGGUUUUGACCCUCUUCUCCUUCACGUUCUGGGCCAUCUCCUGCUGCCGUGCCCCCCGGUGCCAGCUUCUACAGCCCAGCCGGACUGGACACGGGCUGCCCCAGCCCUACUCCUGGAGGCAGCGCAAUGCAGAGGGAAGAUUCAGGGAGACAGGUGGUGUGAGGCUUGCUCGGCGCCUCUCACCCGCUCUGCGUGGGCCCUCGCUGACUGGUCGGAGGGAGAUCUCCUGAGCGUUCCCUGGGAGCACAGAUCCUCACCAGGAAGAGCCUGCUCAGACCUGCUCUCCCCACAAAGCAAGGUCUCCCCAAACUGUGUCUGAGGCGUUCAUACCACCACCUCCUCCUUCACCUGAAGCUGCUGUCCUGGCCCAUCUCCUCACCCCGUGUCGGUGUCACCUGCCUGCUGGGCCAGCUGAUCACCCACUGAAGUGGCCUCACCCCUCUGGGGUCCAGGAGCAGGUUGUACAUUCUUUCACUUUGAGGGGCCGACUUGGAAAGAGGCCAGAGUGGAUGUCCUUGCUGGCAGCCAUGGCAGGUUAUGGAAGUUGCAGCUGCCUGCUUGUCCUGAGGUGGGUCUGAUACAUCCACAGCUUCCCCCUGGGACAGAUGGGAAAUCCUGGUGCCGCUUCCCACGACCGGGAGGGGCAUCCUGUGUGCCCAGGGUCGGGUGGACCCCGCUACCACUCGGCACGGCCUCCCUUCCCACUGCAUUUUCCUCCUGGAUGGCUUCCUCAGGUCCCAAGCAGCAGAAAUGCAUCCUAUCACAGUUCUGGAGAGCAGAAGUCUGAAGUGAAGGUGUCAGCGAGGCCACAGCUCCCUCGGUUGCUCCACGGGGUUGGGAGUGGGGCUGGGGCUGUCCUUGCCUCUCGAGCACCUGGCUUGUGGCCGAAGCUGCUCUCAUCGCCUCACUGCUUUCUCUGUGCCUUUGGCCUCCCGCUGUCUCGGUCAGUGAGGACACUGACACUGAGCUCCAGGUCUGCCCAGACUGCCCAAGGUGAUCUCCUCAUCUCAAGAGCUUUACCUCCAUUGCAUCUGCAAAACUGACUUUUCAAAAUAAGGUCAUAUUCACAGGUUCUGGGGAUGUGGGCUUGAACAUCUCUUUUAUGAAGACCACUGUUCAGUCUGCUGCACCACCCAGUGGUCCAUUCGCCGCAGUUUGGACUCCUCCUGUGAUGGGAAGCUCACUGCGUCACCACCUGGCUACAUCCAGGUCCAUCCACGUCUGGUUAUUGUAGAGUUCUUAGCUGGGUGGAACUGAAAAUCUGCUCAAAAGAAGCUGCUAUUCACUGGGCCUUGUUCUGGCCUUUGGAACACAUAAAAUACAUGUAAAUAAAUACACCCUCCAUUCCCACUCUAAUUACAACUUUUAAAAAUCAGAAAAAGGAUGGGCUGGUUGGGUAAGUGCAGACCCUGGCCUCCCUAGUGGCUCUGUCUCUGAGGUCUUGUGCCUCAGUUUCUCUCCGUAAUGCCAGAGGGCAGCUGAAUCACUGUUUCAUGGCCUGCUUUGGGGUAACAUAUCCCGGAGAUUCACGUCUGCAAUGGCAUAUUAAAGACUCUGAGAAGUCCUGAGUAAGGAAACACCUUU